rnacentral:rRNA from 1 species
UACGGAGGAUGCAAGCGUUAUCCGGAUUUAUUGGGUUUAAAGGGUGCGUAGGCGGGCUGGUAAGUCAGCGGUGAAACGCAGGUGCUCAACACCUGACCUGCCGUUGAAACUGCCGGUCUUGAAUGCGGAUGCUGUGGGAGGAAUGUGUGGUGUAGCGGUGAAAUGCAUAGAUAUCACACAGAACACCGAUUGCGAAGGCAUCUCACAAAUCCGUGAUUGACGCUGAGGCACGAAAGUGCGGGGAU